rnacentral:rRNA from 1 species
CAGCAGCCGCGGUAAAACGGAGGGCGCGAGCGUUACCCGGAUUUACUGGGCGUAAAGGGCGUGUAGGCGGCCUGGGGCGUCCCAUGUGAAAGGCCACGGCUCAACCGUGGAGGAGCGUGGGAUACGCUCAGGCUAGAGGGUGGGAGAGGGUGGUGGAAUUCCCGGAGUAGCGGUGAAAUGCGCAGAUACCGGGAGGAACGCCGAUGGCGAAGGCAGCCACCUGGUCCACUUCUGACGCUGAGGCGCGAAAGCGUGGGGAGCAAACCGGAUUAGAGACCCCAGUAGUCCCUGUCUCUUAUAC